CAAAGUGUAGCUUAAACUAAAGCACCUGGCCUACACCCAGGAGAUUUCAUGACUAUGACCACUUUGA
rnacentral:tRNA from 1 species